rnacentral:tRNA from 1 species
GGGGCUGUAGCUCAGUGGUAGAGUGCUUACCUAGCAUGUGUGAGGCACAGGGUUCAAUCCUCAGCACCG